GUUAUGUUUGCAGAGCUGUAACUGGAAGUGCUGAAGGUCUAAAAUGAAGAGAGUGAAGAGAGGAAGCCAGCGCCUCUCUCAAAGGCUGCAUUGCUGUGGCCAACAUAUCCUUCUUCUAGACAACUGAAUAUGGAAAAGAAUACAAAAGCAGAGCCUGUCAGUCACCCCUGGGUGGCUGUCAGCAUCUGGAAGGAUGGGUGCAGAAGUCAAGAGCAGCCGUCUUCAUCCAGUCACCUGUGUGCCUGAGUCAGAGAAGCUGCUGCUACCUGAGAAAUGAACAAACAGCGCCUUCAAAAAGUCUGGGAAGAAACAAAGACAUUUGAACCAUUUGCACAACACAGAAGCUCUCCAGCACGAGUCCUUAAAGGGCUGGAGGUUUGCUGGGGAAGCUUUGAGGAGGAGAGUCAUAAAGAAUAGAAGGUUUUACGGCGCAAGGUUGAAUGGGAAACUUUUAUUGGAGGGGCUUGGCCAGCUCCUGUCCCAUGGGGGAAAGGCGGAGGAAUCUGAAUGUACUGUUUUCUCUUUUGGAAGGUCAAAGCUGUUGCACACAAUGGCAAAGCAGCAUAAGAGAAAUACCCUUUCUCCUCUGUCAUGACUGUCAAAUACAGAGGAGGGGAGGAAGUCCCACACACCACAUUACAGCAAAGCCCUGAAGAUAGCGUUCUGCACAGAGUCACAGCCUCCAAUUGGCAGUCCCAGCUCUUUGGCAGAUGAAUUUAUCCAGGGUCAGACCCACAGCUCUUGCAAAUUCAGAACCUGAGGGAGUUCUGGAACUCCUCAGCUCAUGGAAGCCCACGGCAUUGAUCCAAGAGCUGGGAGCAGCAUUCCUUGGCCAAGAGGUUUGUGCUGGAUUGGAGCUGAGACCCUGAGUCUGAAGCUGUUCAGGAUCAGUGUGCUGAGAAUACCAGCAGGUAUCAAUCAGGCAGGCUGGGAGAGCAUACAGAAACGUAUCAAUUUGUUCCCGAGUAUUUUCAGACACAAACAACUGCAAGAAUUUACCACUGCUAUAUAAAAAUAUAGUCUGGGACCCAGGCAGGUCUGUAAAAGUUGUGUGAAGCUGGAGGAUGCAUUUCCUUGUGGGAGAUGUGCUGAAUUUUGAUGCUGAGAGGUGCUGUCGUACACCCCUUGUAGCAGCACAAUGUUAUUGCUUAUCCUUAAUAGGGGAAGAUAGGCAGAAGGAAUAGAAUCAGUGCUAUGCAAUAAAAUAAUAGCUGUUUUACUGUUUCCUUGCACAGGUAAUUUUGGUUACUGUAAUCUAGUGCAAACACAGCACAGCGCAUAGCGUGUGCACAGCAUCACCGGACCCUGCCACCCAUGGCUGAGCAGGAACAAAAAAGCAUUAACAUUCUCCUUUGCCCAAUUAUUUCCCGAUUUGAUCAAUCAGCAUUUA